CCUGAACGCUGGCGGCGUGGCUAAGACAUGCAAGUCGCACGGGGUAGCAAUACCCAGUGGCGAACGGGAGAGUAAUGAAUCGCUAACGUACCCCGGACUCUGGGAUAGCUACCCGAAAGGGUAGGUAAUACCAGAUAAUACGACCUUGUCGCAUGGCAGGGUUUUUCAAAGGUCCGCCGGUCUGGGAGCGGGCGAUUUCGUAUCAGCUAGUUGGUGGGGUAAUGGCUCACCAAGGCGACGACGCGUAGCCGGACUGAGAGGUUGGCCGGCCUCAUUUGGGACUGAGACACUGCCCAGACUCCGUACGGGGGGCUGCAGUAACGAAUCUCCCGCAAUGCACGAAAGUGUGACGGAGCGAUGCCGCGUGUGGGACGAA
rnacentral:rRNA from 1 species